rnacentral:lncRNA from 1 species
UUUCAGUGGGAGAACAGAAUGUAGGGGCGAUGAGGACGUUAAAGCAAGAGGAUUUGUGGCUUUUUUCCAAGCUCACAGCUGUUAAGAGGUAGCCCUGGGAAGGAGGCACGGAGGUUAGUCAGUCAGCCUGAGGUUACCCGGCCCUGGUGCUCGGCACAGGGACAGGGAAAGCCUGCACCCUUUCAUUCCUGACCUGCCUUUUCGCAUAGAUGCUCAGGGCUGCAGCAGCACCUUGGGUAGGUGGAGGUUGUCCCAGUCCCUCACUGGUUCUGAGCCCCUCGCACACAUUUGUUGUAUUUGAUGUGUGUUGGGUACCUUCCCCUGCCAUUCGCCCAGCCCUUUGGUUUGGGGACCUUGGAGAACUCCACAUUCAGAGUCCUGAGUGCAGGCUGGGUUCUAUGGAGGGGAUUCCCAUUUCCCACUACCAGUGGGAGAAGGUAUCAAGGCUACUCCUGGGACAUAGCUGGCAGUGCUUUAAGGUGAACCCGAGCUGCAGGGCAGUGUGACCUUUGAGGAUGUGGCCGUGAACUUCUCCUGGGAGGAAUGGUGUCUUCUUGAUGAGGUCCAGAUACCCCUGUACCUUGAUGUCAUGCUGGAGAACUUGGCACUUGUGCCCAAGCUGGGUAAGAGCCUCACAGCACCUGCAUCCUCUGAGCCAGGCUGUGUCUUUCUCCUUUUCCCCAGGGGCACCUCUGUCCUUCUCACAUCUGGACCAUGGGAUGUGAUGGAGUAUGUCCUCUGGGUACCUGGGCUGGGCUGAGUGCAUCCCUGCUCCUUGGUGACUGAGCCCUUGUAGGCCCUAAGUCUUGCAGGGAAGGGUUCAGGCUUCGUAGUCUUGCAGUCAGCCCUGUGGAUCCCUCCUUGACUUGCCCUCCCUUUGACCUGGUGACUGUCCGCAUGUAUGGGGCACCCAUGUUUUGCUCCAUUAGUUUACCUGACUUUUUUUUGUGCCUUACCGUGCAAAACGCUGUUCUCAAUGACUUGGCGACUACUAUAACAGACCAUGAGCUGUUGUUGUAAGACCCCUUUCCAAGUUUCCAAUUUGUCUACAUCCACGGUAGCAUCUGUUUUCUGUUCUUUUCACAAGUAUUUUUUUUAAAUGAAUUUAAUUUAUGGCUCCACCACUGGCAUAUGGAAGUUCCCCGGCUAGGGGUUGAAUCAGAGCUGCACCUGUGACCUAUGCCACUGCUUUCAGCAACUCCAUAUCCUCAACCCACUGAAUGAGGCCAGGGAUCAAAUCCAUGUCCUCAUGGAGACUAGUUGGAUUCUUAAACCACUGAGCCACAAUGGGAACCCCUGUUCUUUUCAUAAUAUCCAUCCUAAUGGGUGUGAAGUGUUAUUACUUUACCAUUUUUUUGUUUGUUUUUGUCUAUUUGCUUUUUCUAGGGCCCACCCGCAGCAUAUGGAGAUUCCCCGGCUAGGAGUGUAAUUGGAGCUGUAGCCUACGCCAGAGCCACAGCAACUCCAGAUUCGAGCUACGUCUGCGACCUACACCACAGCUCAUGG